GCACACACCGCCCGUCGCGCCACCCGAGGGAGCCCCCAACGAGGCCUCUUCUCCCUGGGUAAUCCCCGGGGAGGGGAGGACGAGUUGGGGGCUCCCGAGGGGGGCGAAGUCGUAACAAGGUGGCCGUAGGGGAACCUG
rnacentral:rRNA from 1 species